rnacentral:misc_RNA from 1 species
AAGUCGUAACAAGGUUUCCGUAGGUGAACCUGCGGAAGGAUCAUUAACAAAUAUCCCAACCAACCCACGUCAGUGAACUGUUACCCCAAACGCUUUGGGUGUGCCCCGCGCUUAAGCACCUCAGUCAGCAAUGCAUGAGGGGAUUUAGUCGGACCACCUCUUUUUUUACGUUGAAAUACCCUUUACUGAGACUUUAAACUAAAAUUAAAGACAACUUUUAGCAACGGAUCUCUAGGCUCUC